CUAAGCUGUGGGAAAUGGGAAAUUGCGUAAAAAUCUGGGUUGGGUGAUUUAAAAAAAAAGCAGGGGCUGGGCAUAGGCAGUAAUAUAAGGCAAGAUGGCUAAGGAAGAAGGUGGGCAGCGGAGCCGGUGAAGGAAGCCGCAGGCGCGGAUGGAGGCGAAGAGAUCAGGAGCAGUAAAGGAACACUCUCUUCCCCAGUCAGCUGGGAUACGGAUUUUGUAAGGCCUAGGGACUUUGUCUUUGGAGGUCCUGUCUCCAUAAGGCUUCCCAAAACAAAGAAUGUUCAGAUUGGACUGGCCUUAAAAUGCAGUAUUUAAAACAGCAACAUGUCUGACAGAUCCGAGAAAUGAAAUACGUCCAUUUCUUUUGGCAAGGAGCAGAAGGCAACAUAAAGCAGCUGCAAGAAUUAAUUCAUGGAGAUAGUUGACAUUUUCGAGCUGACUGCCUCUUAGAGAAAAUGAUGUCAUUCUCCAGCAGCCUAAUGACAGUCAUCAGCCUGAGAGGACACAUGCUAAUAAGACUAUCACCAGCAAAGAAUUUUCUGAGCAAAUGUGUACUGGAGACCUUCUGAGGAACCCACUAGAGCCUGCACAUCCCCUUUUCCUAGCAAGGUCAACUGGAAAACAGUGUUCUUUCCAAGAUAACGUGCAACUUUCCUUUGGAAUGAUCAGCAGAAUGUCAAAUAAGGAAAGGACAUGUAGAGUUCAUGGGAGGAGACAUUACUUCUGGCUGCAGAAUUAUGGAGGCUUUAUGGGAGACGCCGUAUAUUUUAUCUGUGCGCCUUGAUCACGUGUCUGACCAUGGACAGAGAAACCAGCCUAAUGAGCCUUCUUUACAGGUCUUACUGCCUAUUAGAGCAAAGGAAGAGGAAAUCUUUGGCUAACCGGUCAGAGAAAACAACUGGAUUAAACAAGAUACUCUUCAUGACUGUGGUUGCAAAAAUGCAACACAACUUUUAAAAAUCUUAGUACUAAUUUUUAAAAAUGGCUUUUAAUUUGGGGGAGACUCGAUAACAGAACCCGAAAAUCUGAUGAAUUGUAUGAACAUUUUGUUCAGAAAAAUAAACAUAUAUUACCAGAAAAUUUCAUAUGUGAUUCAAGAAGUCCACAGAAGUUCCAUGUUAGUAAAAUUGAGGAACAAUGGUGACACCCUAAUGAUAGGGCAACAUGGUUCUGCUUUAGUAAGUCUGAGAGCUGCAGCUGUGAAAAGGGUCCUGACUCCAUUCAGGUUCGGGUUGAGAAUUCAGUUCUAGUGAAGCUCUUCACUACACAGCGAUUGAGAAAUCAAGGCUGUUGGCUGCUUGGACAUCUUUAAUGUGCGGCUUCCAGGACAGCAGUUCCCUUCUCAUUUGGGAUCGUUUUUGCCUGUAUAGAGUCUCAAUCUGUUGCCCAGGCUGAGGUGCAGUGGUGCGAUCACAGCUCACUGUAGCCUUGAACUCCCAGGCUCAAGCGAUCCUCCCACCUAGGCCUUCUGAGUAAUUGAGACCAUAGAGGGUCUAAAGAGGAGCUACUUUGUCACUCAUCACUCGCUUGAAUAUUCAUCAGCAACAGAAGAGGAAGCUGAUCUGGGGGGUGCCGGUGGUUGUCUAUGGGGGAACUGAGGCCCUACGAAGUUAAAUGAUCUGCCAAGUUAUCCCUGAAAAACAUUAAGGCCCUCAAGUUUCCUAGGUUUAGGACUGAACAACUCCGGGAAUCUGAAAGAUGAUGCAAAUAAAGAGGAAGACGGACAUAAUCUCGAAGGGAGAGAAAGGAGCUGGGAAUGGGGGAUCAUAUUCUAAUAGCUCAUCAUCACCACAUGAAACAUACAAUGCAGAGGAACUCUUCAAGGGGUGAAGGGAAAGUAUAAAACAAGACAGAAGAUUUCCUUUCUUCCAUGAGGAUAUAAUUCUAGUGGGAGAACCAAUAAGCAAACCAGCAGAAGAAUCUUAGACUGGGAGACGUGCUAAGCUGAGAACUGGGGCAGCCGGUGCCUGGGGAGCUACACUGGAACUGUGAUUGUGAAACCAAUUCAAAGAGGUAGCAUUUACAGUGAGACCUGAAUGACAAGAAGGAGCCAGAUGUGCAGUGAUUCUCCAGGAAGGAGUUCCAGGUAUCGAGAACAGCUGGCAUAAAUGUUUGAAGGUGGGUAUAGCAGCACUAUUCACAAUAGCCAGAAGGUGGAAACAACCCUAACGUCCAUCAGCAGUUGAAUGGAUAAACAAAAUGUGGUAUAUCCAUGCUAUGGAAUAUUAUUCAGCCUUAAAAACAAAUGAAGGACUGAUACAUGAUAAUGUCAGGCCUCCGAGCCCAAGCCAAGCCAUCUCAUCCCCUGUGACUUGCACGUAUACAUCCAGAUGGCCUGAAGUAACUGAAGAUCCACAAAAGAAGUAAAAAUAGCCUGAACUGAUGACAUUCCACCAUUGUGAUUUGUUCCUGCCCCACCCUAACUGAUCAAUGUAGUUUGUAAUCUUCCCACCCUUAAGAAGGUUCUUUGUAAUUCUCCCCACCCUUGAGAAUGUACUUUGUGAGAUCCACCCCUGCCCACAAAACAUUGCUCUUAACUUCACCGCCCAUCCCAAAACCUGUAAGAACUAAUGAUAAUCCAUCUCCCUUCGCUGACUCUUUUCGGACUCAGCCCACCUGCACCCAGGUGAAAUAAACAGCCAUGCUGCUCACACAAAACCUGUUUGGUGGUCUCUUCACACGGACACACAUGAAACUAUGACUUGGAUGAACCUUGAAAACAUUAGGUUAAGUGAAAGAAGCCAGUCACAAAAGAAGCCAGUCACAUACAUAUUGUGUGAUUCCUUUUAUAUGAACUAUCUGGAAUAGAUUAGUCCAUAGAGACAGA
rnacentral:lncRNA from 1 species